rnacentral:lncRNA from 1 species
UUGGAUGACGUCUAAGCUAUAAUUCAAUAACUCAUGUUGUGGUUCCCACCUCCAGAGUGAGGUUAUUCUGAGUUAUACUCCUUAUUUAUUACGCUUAAACAUUAAGGACAAUAUUUGGUUCAAGUUUGGGAGGGAAUCUAUUUAUUUUCUUGCAUUUAUUUAUUUAUUUUUAUCGCAUUUUUAUUUCUUUCACUUUUAUGUUUUUGUUUCUUUCUGGUUUUUAGUUAUUUCUAGUUUGAUUGAUGCAUUAAGACCACCGUUUUUUAGUCUUUCCCAAAACUAAGUUCGUGGAUUUUUUUUAAUGACAAUCUUCGGUUGUGGGGAAGAUAAGAAAGUAUAUAGAGUUUAAGUGACGAAAGGCUAGGACUAGGGAAAUUGGGAAUGUUUGAAAACUUAGGUAUUAC